GUGAACGCUGGCGGUAGGCCUAACACAUGCAAGUCGAACGGCAGCACAGUAAGAGCUUGCUCUUACGGGUGGCGAGUGGCGGACGGGUGAGGAAUACAUCGGAAUCUACUUUUUCGUGGGGGAUAACGUAGGGAAACUUACGCUAAUACCGCAUACGACCUACGGGUGAAAGCAGGGGAUCUUCGGACCUUGCGCGAUUGAAUGAGCCGAUGUCGGAUUAGCUAGUUGGCGGGGUAAAGGCCCACCAAGGCGACGAUCCGUAGCUGGUCUGAGAGGAUGAUCAGCCACACUGGAACUGAGACACGGUUCAGACUCCUACGGGAGGCAGCAGUGGGGAAUAUUGGACAAUGGGCGCAAGCCUGAUCCAGCCAUACCGCGUGGGUGAAGAAGGCCUUCGGGUUGUAAAGCCCUUUUGUUGGGAAAGAAAAGCAGCAGGUUAAUACCCCGCUGUUCUGACGGUACCCAAAGAAUAAGCACCGGCUAACUUCGUG
rnacentral:rRNA from 1 species